rnacentral:rRNA from 1 species
GCCCAGACUCCUACGGGAGGCAGCAGUGGGGAAUAUUGCACAAUGGGGGAAACCCUGAUGCAGCGACGCCGCGUGAGCGAUGAAGUAUUUCGGUAUGUAAAGCUCUAUCAGCAGGGAAGAAGAUGACGGUACCUGACUAAGAAGCCCCGGCUAACUACGUGCCAGCAGCCGCGGUAAUACGUAGGGGGCAAGCGUUAUCCGGAUUUACUGGGUGUAAAGGGAGCGUAGACGGCGAUGCAAGCCAGAUGUGAAAGCCCGGGGCUCAACCCCGGGACUGCAUUUGGAACUGUGUGGCUGGAGUGUCGGAGAGGCAGGCGGAAUCCCUAGUGUAGCGGUGAAAUGCGUAGAUAUCAGGAGGAACACCGGUGGCGAAGGCGGCCUGCUGGACUGCAACUGACGUUGAGGCCCGAAAUCGUGGGGAGCCAACAGGAUUAGAUACCCGCGUA